rnacentral:ncRNA from 1 species
GAUUGUAUAAUUUCUUCUCUACAAUCGCGGCUG